rnacentral:rRNA from 1 species
GUCCACGCCGUAAACGAUGAGUACUGGGUGUCGCGGGUAGUUGACCCCUGCGGUGCCGUAGCUAACGCGUUAAGUACUCCGCCUGGGGAUUACGGUCGCAAGAUUAAAACUCAAAGGAAUUGACGGGGGCCCGCACAAGCGGUGGAGCAUGUGGUUUAAUUCGACGCAACGCGAAGAACCUUACCCGGGCUAGACAACGGUGGACCGCCCUAGAGAUAGGGCUUUCCCUUCGGGGACUGCCGGUUCAGGUGCUGCAUGGCUGUCGU